rfam:Photorhabdus luminescens subsp. laumondii TTO1 complete genome; segment 12/17
UCAAACUUAAACUGGCUCCUAUAAGGGGCCAGUGCAAACGCAACAGUUUUGUCGGGGGUUCCUGUAACAGGUCUGUUGCGUGUGCGUUUUUAUUUGACGAAUUCUGACCGAUAUUGGUAGCACAUGAAUCCCAUCGUAAUUAACAGAUUGCAGCGUAAGCUGGGGUACACUUUUGAUC